rnacentral:sRNA from 1 species
UCCAUGGCAUAUAAGAGAAAAGUACACCCCACCACGCCGCAGUAGAGCCGCGUCUGAACUGCGCUUUGGUAAUCUGGUUUUUGUCGGUUUUUACAAUCGUUGAGUUGGUUUGGUCGUUUCUACAUCAUUCCAAUUUGUGUUUGUACCGGGGCUUUGGAUGUGUGUCAGAUAAAAUGUGUAAGAAAAUAUGAGCUUCAUUGAAAAUGCAACGAAGAAAGGAGUCUUUAAUUAAAGGGAUUGUCACGUUGCCCCUAACCAGUCCCAGCACUUUCAGUCAGGCUUCGACCUUUGGGUUCUGUACUGGCCACUUUUGUAUGUGAACUUGACACAGGCUAGAAUCAUCGCGGCAGAAAGGAGCUUCACCUGGAAAUGCUUCCACGAGAUCCAGCCGUAAGGCAGAAAGCAAAACUUCCGUCAACACACCGAAUGAAAAACAGAAAUAAAAAGGAGGAGGAUGCGACUACUUCUUAGAUGGUGUCACUAAGCAGUCUGUGAUUGUCCUACUUCUGCCUUGCAAGUCGCUGAAAUAAAACAAACGAACAAACAAACAAACACAAGAGUGUCUUUCCCCUAACACCAAGCUUAAGACUUGCUAAUAUACUGUGGAGUUCUCCAAGCAACUUGAUGGAUCAACCAGCGGAUGCUUUAUUAAAUGAACAAACAAACAGAAAGGCUUUGUGUGUGAAUAAGGGGCUUCAUCAUCUGUAGACUUUUUCUUAACACUCACAAGAGAAAUAGACCUCUCGUUUGCAGCGAUAGCUCACUACUUCAGUGGUGUAUGUGGUGCUUGGAUUGAUCCUAGAGCCUUGAGUCUGUUAGGCAACUGUUGUAACAUUGCACUAUACUGGAAAUCAGUAAAAAAAUGUUUUUAAUUUACA